rnacentral:rRNA from 1 species
GACAGCAGUAGCCGCGGUAAUACGGAGGGUGCAAGCGUUAAUCGGAAUUACUGGGCGUAAAGCGCACGCAGGCGGUCUGUCAAGUCAGAUGUGAAAUCCCCGGGCUUAACCUGGGAACUGCAUUUGAAACUGGCAGGCUAGAGUCUUGUAGAGGGGGGUAGAAUUCCAGGUGUAGCGGUGAAAUGCGUAGAGAUCUGGAGGAAUACCGGUGGCGAAGGCGGCCCCCUGGACAAAGACUGACGCUCAGGUGCGAAAGCGUGGGGAGCAAACAGGAUUAGAUACCCCAGUAGUCCCUGUCUCUUAUAU